rnacentral:rRNA from 1 species
GACGAACGCUGGCGGCGUGCUUAACACAUGCAAGUCGAACGGUGAACGAGGGAGCUUGCUCUCUCCGGAUCAGUGGCGAACGGGUGAGUAACACGUGCGCAAUCUGCUACGUACUCUGGGAUAAGCGUUGGAAACGACGUCUAAUACCGGAUCCGACGCGGGAGGGCAUCCUCUCCGCGUGGAACGAACUUCGGUUCGGGAUGAGCUCGCGGCUUAUCAGCUUGUUGGUGAGGUAACGGCUCACAAAGGCGACGCCGGGUAGCCGGCCUGAGAGGGUGACCAGCCACACUGGGACUGAGACACGGCGCAGACUCCUACAGUGGGCAGCAGUGGGGAAUAUUACACAAUGGGCGCAAGCCUGAUGCAACAACGCCGCGUGAGGGACGACGGCCUGCGGGUUGUAAACCUCAUUUAGCAGAGAAGAAGCGAAAGUGACGGUACCUGCAGAAAAAGCACCGGCUAACUACGUG